rnacentral:lncRNA from 1 species
GAGACCCCUUGGACUCAGCUCAGGGCUGAUUUUUGAGUAGGAUCUGUUCCCCACACCCCUGCCCCACCACUUGAAGGCUGAUCUCUUAGAGGCAAUUGCCAGAAAGCUUUGAAAGGGGCUCAAAUCCUGCUGCUUUUGUUCAGGCAGGAUUUUGAAGUCAUCCUUCUGCUUUUUGUUCAUGCACACCAGGGACAAACCUGUGCAGGAACGAGCCCUGCACCGCUAGCCUGGUUUGGAAGUGGUGGUCUCAGGACGGAGCAUCUUUCUGGAUUGCUGCUUUGCAGGGGUGUACUGAGGAGUUUUCCAGAGGCCACAGAAUGCAUGCUAUCACAACAGACAGAAAACAGAAGCAAAGAGGAGAAUCCAGAUGUCUUCUAUUAAGCCAGGCAUUAAAGAGACUUGCAGAAAUGUG